rnacentral:rRNA from 1 species
UACGUAGGUGACGAGCGUUAUCCGGAUUUACUGGGCGUAAAGCGCUUGUAGGUGGCUUUGUAAGUUGGGCGUGAAAACUCUGGGCUUAACCCAGAGACGCCGUCCAAUACUGCGAGGCUCGAGGAUGUCAGAGGAAGGUGGAAUGCUUGGUGUAGAGGUGAAAUUCGUAGAUAUCAAGCAGAACGCCUGCGGCGAAGGCGGCCUUCUGGACGAUGACUGACGCUGAUGAGCGAAAGCCAGGGGAGCAAACGGG